AUUGAACGCUGGCGGCAGGCCUAACACAUGCAAGUCGAGCGCAGAGGAGGACGGGUGAGUGAUGGAUGAGGAUCUGGCUGAUGGAGGGGGAUAACUACUAGAAACGGUGGCUAAUACCGCAUAACGUCAGAUGAACCCAUAUGGGUUUAGCUUGUAGGUAAGGUAAAGGCUGACCUAGGCGACGAUGCCUAGCUGGUCUGAGAGGAUGAUCAGCCACACUGGGACUGAGACACGGCCCAGACUCCUACGGGAGGCAGCAGUGGGGAAUAUUGGACAAUGGGCGAAAGCCUGAUCCAGCCAUGCCGCGUGUGUGAAGAAGGUCUUCGGAUUGUAAAGCACUUUAAGUUGGGAGGCGUUACCAACAGAAUAAGCACCGGCUAACUUCGUGCCAGCAGCCGCGGUAAUUC
rnacentral:rRNA from 1 species